GAUGAACGCUGGCGGCGUGCCUAAUACAUGCAAGUCGAGCGAACGGACGAGAAGCUUGCUUCUCUGAUGUUAGCGGCGGACGGGUGAGUAACACGUGGAUAACCUACCUAUAAGACUGGGAUAACUUCGGGAAACCGGAGCUAAUACCGGAUAAUAUUUUGAACCGCAUGGUUCAAAAGUGAAAGACGGUCUUGCUGUCACUUAUAGAUGGAUCCGCGCUGCAUUAGCUAGUUGGUAAGGUAACGGCUUACCAAGGCAACGAUGCAUAGCCGACCUGAGAGGGUGAUCGGCCACACUGGAACUGAGACACGGUCCAGACUCCUACGGGAGGCAGCAGUAGGGAAUCUUCCGCAAUGGGCGAAAGCCUGACGGAGCAACGCCGCGUGAGUGAUGAAGGUCUUCGGAUCGUAAAACUCUGUUAUUAGGGAAGAACAUAUGUGUAAGUAACUGUUCACAUCUGGACGGUACCUAAUCAGAAAGCCACGGCUAACUACGU
rnacentral:rRNA from 1 species